rnacentral:lncRNA from 1 species
CAUCCAGCAAUAAAUUUCAAUUUACUUAAAUCAUUUUCCGUCCUCGAGAUAAUUCAUAUAACACUUAAAUAUUUAAUUUGCUUUACUCAAUUAAUCAAUUAUCCUUAUUAACUUCCAAAUUCUCAAUUUAUUCAUACGGUAGUAAUUAUAAUUUGCUCUAAUUUGAUAAAAUCUUAUUUUAUUCUUAACCCUUAAUUAUUUUAAUCAAAACUAAUUUAAUUAAUAUCAACAAUUUCUAAACUUGAAAUUUAGAUUGAAUUAAACAAAUUGAAUCUUAAAAUAUACAGGUUAAAAUUCGGAUUUCGGAUUCGAGUUCAGCGUGUAAUUCUCAAGCUUAUGCCUCCCGGUUCUCACCGUAGAAGACUCGCCGGCUGGUCCGCCGGCGCCGCCGUCUCCGAUGACCGAAAAACCGUGGCCGCUCGAAAUUAAGCGCUCUUCACAUCAUCUGGUUCGGAUUUCAAUGAGGAAUCCAUAUUUGGUAUCGGUUGGGCGAGAUUGGCCGGAACAGGCUCGACAGGAGCUUAGUGCGGCAUUAAUGUCGCUGUCGAUCCAAAAGGGAGGAACCGCAGCUCGCCUGUGCUGCAGCAGUCGCUGGAGUCGUGAGCGGGGAGAAGAUGCGACCUGAGCAAAGGCGGUCGGUGGCUGAGAUAGCAAGGAGCGGCGAUCGAAAGCUGAAAUCGCAGCUUGCCUCUGCUACGUCCACCGACAACAGAAACAGAGGAGACGAGGAGAGAGACUGGUGGCGCAAAUAGGGUCCGUCAGACCUGUCUGUGGUGACCGAAAACGAAGAGAAAGAAAAAGGUUGAGCGGCACUGGAACGAAGAAGAGAAGAGAAGAAGAAGAAGGAAAGAAAAAGAAAGACAGCCUUCCAGGGUUUUCCAUAUCAUUCUGGUUUGAUUCGAAUUGAUUUGAUCCAACUCAAUGAUUUGGUCCAGUUUUUAACUGAUUUAUAAGUUUUUCACCCAAUUUGAAGAUUUCAAAC